rnacentral:rRNA from 1 species
UACGUAGGGAGCGAGCGUUGUCCGGAUUCAUUGGGCGUAAAGAGCUCGUAGGCGGCUUGAUAAGUCGGAUGUGAAACCUCCAGGCUCAACCUGGAGUCGCCAUCCGAUACUGUCAUGGCUAGAGUCCGGUAGGGGCCCACGGAACUCCUGGUGUAGCGGUGAAAUGCGCAGAUAUCAGGAAGAACACCGGUGGCGAAGGCGGUGGGCUGGGCCGGCACUGACACUGAGAGACGAAAGCUAGGGGAGCGAAUGGG